UUUAUGGAGAGUUUGAUCCUGGCUCAGGAUGAACGCUGGCGGCGUGCCUAAUACAUGCAAGUCGAGCGAACGGACGAGAAGCUUGCUUCUCUGAUGUUAGCGGCGGACGGGUGAGUAACACGUGGAUAACCUACCUAUAAGACUGGGAUAACUUCGGGAAACCGGAGCUAAUACCGGAUAAUAUUUUGAACCGCAUGGUUCAAAAGUGAAAGGCGGUCUUGCUGUCACUUAUAGAUGGAUCCGCGCUGCAUUAGCUAGUUGGUAAGGUAACGGCUUACCAAGGCAACGAUGCAUAGCCGACCUGAG
rnacentral:rRNA from 1 species